UCUGAACAAGCAUAGGGUGCAAUAAAGGCAACGUCGCGGAAUCGAAUGAUUUUAUAUUAAUAUUUAAAUCAUACAAGGUCUAAUCUGUUAUAAGAAUAAGGGUCACAGAGAGUUGAAGCAAACACUGGGAACAUCAGAUACAAGGCAAGAAGCAAUGCUGGAUGGGAUACCAACUCUCAUCACUGGCCACACACACACACAUGCACUCUUAAACAAAAAAAAUGUGGAGUCAGUUAUGAGUCUAAUCGCUGUUUGGGACAUUAAAUGGAAAUGGAGUACUGGGGAGAACAUGCACACUCCUUACAGACAGCAACAGAGCCAGGAUUUGAGCAUCUAGGCACUUGGAUGACAGUGCUAAUAAGAGCACAACCCAUAAAGAAAAGCAAUACAAAACAAGAAAGGAUAUUGAGGAUCUGGGAGCUACUUGUGAGAUUUAACCGUUUUUUUUUUUUUCAGACUGCCCCAAUGUAAAUACCUAAAAGCCUCCAAUCAGCGAAAUUGUUUCACUUUCAUUCCUGCCUUUAUAUAACACACUGCACAGUCUGCUGAACUCUCAUUUCUAGACCCAGUGGCAGAAACUAACAUGUCAAACUUGAUAUACAUCUUCUAACUGACUGGGUCUCCCCACUUCUAUAUAAAAUGCAUUGAAGACUGCUGGGAUCACCCUGGACUGUGUGACUGUCCUUUGUGCAGAACGACCCUCACCUCAAGGCGUGAGUGGUACACAAAAGAACAGAAGAACUCAGCUCUCCUCCACCCAUAAAAUGGUCAAGCUGGACAAAGCAAGGGGUCUCAAACAGCACAAGCAUCAAGAAGGAACUUAAAAUGGACCUGCAACCGUGGAGCCCAUCUCUGUGCGCACCUCCCUCUUGAAGCUUUAGCAGCUAAACAUCAACUGCCUGCAAGCUGCUUUCUGAGAAUAUGAAACUUUCAUCUCAAUCGCCAUGAUGGAAGAAGGUGAACUGGACUGAAAUAUGAUUAGUUGAAGAAAUUACCUUAUUUUACACAAUUAAAACAAGUUUGCUUACUGGGGAGGAAUUUUGUAGUUUAGCUUCUGUGUCGCCAAACAAGUCAAAAAGCUGGAUUGGUGUUUAUGAAGCUGAGCUCUUGAUGGUGUUGAACCAAAGCUGCUGCCAGCUUUCUGGGAACACUCGCCUUAUCUCCUACUAGCCAUGCUAAUCGCCUCCAUCACAAAUGGCUUGCUCCCUUCCAGCAUUAUUAUAGCAAUGGUAACUUUAUUACUAAAUUUACUAUAUUAUGAUAUUGAGCCAUUUUUUUGUCAGAGCUUGCAUCCCUCCAAUCUAUUAAAGUACAUGUCAAAUAGAUGCAUAAAAUAUUAAAGUCAUCCAUACUUUAAUCAGUCAAUGGCCAGAGUGGUUUUAUUCACUCCAGAUUGGCACCUUUUAACACAAUAGAGUAUCUUUGAAACUACCUUGCUGCACAUUUCCAUUAAUGCCUAAAUUGACCUUACUUCUACCAUAUCUUUGAGCAUCCUUUAUUCUUACACCUCCACUGUAAUUUUAUCCCUCACACUACUCUCCAUUCUUACCUAAACUGACCCUAUUUCCAUUAUAUACUUGGCCACCCUUUAUUCUUACACCUCCAUUUUCAUUUUAACACUCACUCACAAGUCUUCAUAUGCUGACUCAGUGCUGCGCCUUUAUGGGUCUUUUUUGAUCUGUUUCUGAGACCCUCAUAUAAGUGCCUUGCAAAUCAAAAUUUUCACCCCAAACCUAUUUUACAUUGUUUGAUGACAAGUCUAUCUUUUAGAACCAAUUACAUUUUUAUGGGUUGUAACAUAAUACAGCACCUUAAAUACAGUAGAAAAUAUGGUAAGGUCAAUAGUGGAUCAAACUAAGCCAAAGGACAUUGAAGUGCUCAAAAUGUGUAGCAGCUGUACAAAAAUAUGACAUCUGGAAAAUAUUUAGCUUUUUGUAAAUUUAGGUUACUUUGCUAAAAACCUUUACAUUUCUCAGUUGAAAAUCUGCCAUUUAGGAAAACUGUAUGGGGCCACAAAUUAAUCAUCCACCCUAAACAAAAAGUAAAGGCCACUAAACUAUAUAGUGGGUCAAAACUGACCCAAUGGGCAAGGCAGUGCUCACAAUGUGUAGCAGCAAUGCAACAAAGUGACAUUUGGAGCCUUUACAUUACUGAGCUCAAAAAGAUGACUUUCAAGAUUUGGUGAAAAAACAAAUUACCGCAAAGGGAGAAUAAAAUCCAGUAAAGUCAAAGGUGGGUCAAAACCUAACGGAAAGACUUGGCAGAGCUGCAAGUGUGCAGCUGUACAAAAAUAUAACAUUUCAAGCCUUUUUGUAGUUUGUAAAGUUAGAUGACUAUACUAAAUGCCUUCACAUUUCUAAGCUAAAAUAAUGCAAUUCAGGAUGUUUUUAUGGGUUGUGAACAAAUGAACUGCCCAGACUGAGCGGUCAAUGUCGGGUCAAAACUGACCCAAAAGACAUAAACAGAACAGAACAACAUUAGAAUCUAUAAUUAAUUGUGGGAAAUGCAGGGAAAGUCAUAAAGUGUGAUGCUGAAAAGACUCAAUUUAAGGUGCUUUUACUGAUUUCAAGCACAAAUUUGGGUCCAAUUUGACCCGAAGAUAUUGUAAGGAUAAAGUACCACCGCAUUUCACAUUGAGGCUCCAGACAAAAAUGUCUGUUGUCCAAACUCUUAUUUGCUCUGUCACUUUAGCCACUUCUAUCGGUUGUUUCUUCUACAUAGUAUACAACUUGUAUCUCUGUUUAAUUUCAUGCACAUUACUUCACGUUAUAUUCUAAUAUUUUAACACAAUACCUCAUCAAACAUUCUACAGCUGCUAAAUCCCUUACAGGUUUGAAGCACACACUGGAUACAAAACCAAUACAUUUUGAAACCAGCUCUUCUAAAUUCUACUGCUAUGUUUGUUGGCUUCCAACCAAAAAAUCCCACUGUUAUGCAAUUCAGUAUAUUUCUAUUUAUUUUUGAUUUCUGCAAAUAUUGAGCCAUAAAUAUGAACAUUAUUAAAAUCCUUAGUGAUUUCCAUUACUUUCUAACUACUUCUCCAUGCUGAAAUUUAUAACUUCAAAAUUUGAAUGAGAUGAAAAGGAGCAAAGAUAGAGGCUUAUUACACUCACUUUACAAGUUUUCUCAUCCUGAUCUUAUAUAACAACACUGCACUCUCGUCAACAGUCCUGAUGUUCCCUGUCACUGGUCCCCUAGAAGCAAAUAAAUGAAAAGCACCUCGUGCUCUGAACUAGAUGCUCUUUGCAGAGCUGGUUGUGACAUACUGAAAAUUAACCCUAACCCUACCACUACCCCUAACCCCAACCUGAUCAAUGCUAUUUAGAUCUGAUCUCUUGUCAAAAGACACCCACAGCUUGAAAUGCCACAUGCAAUUUCCCUUAUUUAGUAAUAAUACUAUCAUAACAGGCAGUGAUAUGUUUAAAUGCCCUCCAUGGUCACUUUAAAUUACAUUUUUUACCACAUACCUCUGUGUUGUAGUUCUUCCAUUGUUACUUACCUGAUUGCCUUUCCUUCACCUCAUAUGCUUUAACCAAUAAGCACAUUUUGCACAACUAGCCAUCCCACCCCACACACACUUUAAGAAUGUCUCUCUAAAAGUUUUAUGACAACCUGCACCUCUGUUGUAAUUAAAUACUCUUCCAAACCAUCACACAACCUUUCUGAGAUGCAAGCAUGGUUUUCCCCUCAGUACGGAACUACAGUGUUUGAACACCUUUUUUUUUAAUUAUGAAUCAUUAUCAUUAACUUACUAAUAGAAUGAACAGAGGCAGUUUUGAGCUUCAAUGUGUGACAUAAAACUGACAAAACUGGAAAACUAAAUCCAAGAGUUAAUCAAGGUAUCAAGUUCCACCCAAUGUGUGAAGUAAGAACUGCGAAAAGUGGAAAAAUAAGUCCACGAGUUAAUCAAGGGUCAAGUUCACCUGCCUGUAUAAAUGAAAGAUAAAGCCCAUCAGGAAGUUCUUUCUAACACCCCUCUGAAAACUGCUAUGAAUUCUUUCCCUGGUUCUGAGAGUGAAUGUGAAACUGGAUAAUCCAACAACAUCAGUUCCUUGCAACUUAACCGAUCGACAGCACACAAUGGUGAAGGCCAGUGAAGUCAGCUUUAUCAUCCAGGACAGAGUUUGGAAAUAUCAGACUAGCGUGGGACGUCAGAUUCCUCCUCCUAUCAACCUGAAGAGACAACAAACAACAGGGAGAAGCAUCUACAAAGAUCUGAGGACCCAAGUCUACUCCCAGAAGAUCAAAUGAAGCAUUCAGUAGAACAUUCAGCCUGAAUAGCUGGUUGCAAGACCUGGUGUGUGUGCAUGUGUGUGUGUUAAUCACAGCAUUGACUUUAUGAACAACUGAGGCCUCUUCUAGGAAAGACCACGGAUUUACAGAAAGGAUGCCCGGCACCCCAAUCAACAAGGAUUCAAAGUCAAAUCUAAGAGAAUUGAAACGGUAAUUUAGGGAUUUUGAUAGCAUAUUUGUUAUGCAUAAAAAUGCAUUAGAAUGUUAGAAAAAUGCUUGCUUCCUAAUUGAAAAUGUGUACUAUGUAAAGUAUCUAAUAACUAUUUAUUGAGGAAUCAAAAUAAUUACACAUAAUUACACAUAUCAAAAAUGUUAUGCUACAUGAAGGUGCAGUGCUGCUUCACAGAUCUCAGCAUCCUUUACUGGAGUCCCACAAAUGGCUGUUGUCUGUGUGUGGAUUGCACUGUCUAGGUUGUCCUCUAGGUACUCGGGCUUUCCUCCAACAUGUCCGAAGACGUGCAGGGUCCCUCAAUUGCGCUAAGGGGAUUUAAGAAUGCUAUAUUAUAAAUAAUUGAAUUCUCAUAUAGUUUUGCAUUAAGUAUAUUCUACAAAAAAAGCCUUCCUGGAUCUAUGAAGAAAAUAACAUUCUCAAACAACUCCAAAGUCAGUUAAGGGACAUUGGAGAGUGAAACUUAACCUAGCAGUAUUAGGGCAGGGUCUCCACAGGCACACAGAGCUGUUUGUUUGCACCAAUAAUAUCUAAUGUCUUUCCAAUAAACGAGAAGUAUAGGACAUUUUUAGAAAGGUGCCAAAAGCACAUUUUUCCAUUAGAAUUAUUAACUAAUUUUAACAAAGUUUGAACCCUAAUACUUAAAUAAUUAAAUGUGCUUAAGUGGGCUUGGUCUAUCUGCUUUUACUAUUAAAAUUAUUAUUAAAUAAUAGAUGUUAAAAUGUGCAAUAGAGGUUUGUGCUAAUUAGUAUGACCAUCAUUUGUUAACCCCUUCUCUUUCUUUUCUUCAUUUUCGGUAUCCUGCUGUGGCGUUAUGCGGCACUACACCCUUGUUGAAGUUUCUCGGCAAUCCUAUGGAAAGUGUCAUCAUCUUGAAGGAUAACACAUCUACAGUGACUCUGCAAUCCUUGGACCCACAUGACAUCACAAAAAGCAGUGACAGUUUGGCAACAUUUUAGUUUAGGUACUGCAAAAACGCAUCGAUUUCUCAUGUACUCUUCUGUAACAAGACUUUCACAAAGGCUUCCUUUGCUCUUCAUAACACUUAUAAAACAUCAGUAGAUGGGCCAUCAGAGUGGCAUCUUGACAUGAUAUUAAGAUGACUUGAUAAUAUGAUGGAUUCACAGGUCUUAGACUGCAUGUGGAAUAGAAAGAGUGAUGGGAAUGGAAGUACACAGAGAACAAGAAAGCAAGUGGAGGCCAAAGUGGAGGUGAACGGAUAAAGUACACGAAGAUCUGAAGGAAAGGG